UGUGUUAAAGAGGAAGAGGGCAGAGGUUACAAGUGUUGUACAUUAGGUUCCAUAUUUGGGCAUGGAUGAUUUUUGUGUCUGUAUGGAUUAUGGCACAAUCCAGAAAGAUCCAUCGCCUGCAUGCUCUGUGAAUGCCUCUGGUUGUUUCCCACCUGAAGUGAAGGGCUGGCAGACAGUAUGUAAAGUAUCCAGGACAUCUUCGAGGAGCAGCGCCUCAAAAAGGCAACGUCCAUCAUUAAGGACCCCAUCACCCAGAACAUGUCUUCUUAUUGUUACCAUCAGGAAAGAGGUACAGACGCCUGAGGCACACACUCAAUGUUUCAGGAAAAGCUUCUUCCCCUCUGCCAUCCAAUAUCUGAAUGGACGUUAAACCAAUGAACAU